UGAGUAGGCGGCUGCAUAUGUCAGAUGUAAAAGGCACAGGCUUAACUUGUGUUAGCAUUUGAAACUGUGCGACUUGAGUGCAGGAGAGGUAAGUGGAAUUCCUAGUGUAGCGGUGAAAUGCGUAGAUAUUAGGAGGAACACCAGUGGCGAAGGCGACUUACUGGACUGUAACUGACGCUGAGUCACGAAAGCGUGGGUAGCAAACA
rnacentral:rRNA from 1 species